UGCUUUGUUGCGGAGUGGCUAAACGCAACGGUCUGAGAAACCGUCUCUUUAUAGAUUCGCAGGUUCGAAUCCUGCCAAAGCUU
rnacentral:tRNA from 1 species